GACGAACGCUGGCGGCGUGCCUAAUACAUGCAAGUCGAACGCUUCUUUCCUCCCGAGUGCUUGCACUCAAUUGGAAAGAGGAGUAGCGGACGGGUGAGUAACACGUGGGUAACCUACCCAUCAGAGGGGGAUAACACUUGGAAACAGGUGCUAAUACCGCAUAACAGUUUAUGCCGCAUGGCAUAAGAGUGAAAGGCGCUUUCGGGUGUCGCUGAUGGAUGGACCCGCGGUGCAUUAGCUAGUUGGUGAGGUAACGGCUCACCAAGGCCACGAUGCAUAGCCGACCUGAGAGGGUGAUCGGCCACACUGGGACUGAGACACGGCCCAGACUCCUACGGGAGGCAGCAGUAGGGAAUCUUCGGCAAUGGACGAAAGUCUGACCGAGCAACGCCGCGUGAGUGAAGAAGGUUUUCGGAUCGUAAAACUCUGUUGUUAGAGAAGAACAAGGACGUUAGUAACUGAACGUCCCCUGACGGUAUCUAACCAGAAAGCCACGGCUAACUACGUG
rnacentral:rRNA from 1 species